GGCAGGCAUAUCCUCGCCGGUGCUCUCCGGAGCUUGAUAGGGAAUCCCGUGUAAACCGGGAACGGGCCCGCCGCUGUAACCCCUCCCCGCCCUGCGGGGAACCGUGUCGGCCAUCGCGUGUCACUGUCCCCCAGGGGACGGGAAGACCGCCGGCACGGCGGGGGAGUCAGAAGACCUGCCUGCGAGGACUUGAACGC
rnacentral:ncRNA from 2 species